rnacentral:rRNA from 1 species
UGAGGGAUAUUGGGCAAUGGGCGAAAGCCUGACCCAGCAACGCCGCGUGAAGGAAGAAGGUCUUCGGAUUGUAAACUUUUGUCUUAUGGGACGAUAAUGACGGUACCAUAGGAGGAAGCCACGACUAACUACGUGCCAGCAGUCGCGGUAAUACGUAGGUGGCAAGCGUUAUCCGGAAUUAUUGGGUGUAAAGGGUGCGUAGGCGGGGUGUCAAGUCAGAUGUGAAAUCUCAAUGCUUAACGUUGAGACUGCAUUUGAAACUGGCGCUCUUGAGUGAAGUAGAGGUAAGCGGAAUUCCCAGUGUAGCGGUGAAAUGCGUAGAUAUUGGGAGGAACACCAGUGGCGAAGGCGGCUUACUGGGCUUUUACUGACGCUGAGGCACGAAAGUGUGGGGAGCAAACAGG